CGGAAAAUGGUAAUAAAGAAGAUCGGAAAAUGGUAAACCAUGGCUAGUGGUUUGAAAAGGAAUCCAUUAAAAUAAAACCCAACACAGGAACAAUAUCUACUAUUUCCUUGAUUAAAAAAACUCAUCGGAAAAUGGUAAUAGAGAAGAUUGGAAAAUGGUAAACCAUGGCUGGUGGUUUGUAAAGGUUAUUUUCUCUCACUAGAACAUAGUCGGAGUAGGGGUAAAAAAUGGCCUCUUGUCAUACGAAGAAGAACAGAAAGAAACGAAAUCCUGCUGGAAGUGAAUCAUGUCAUGGAUUUUUUUGAAUCCAUGCGCAAAGAUGCCAAACCCAAACACGAACCCUAUGAGAAUAGACGAGGAUAAGGAGGAGACAAUAGCAACAGCACUUGGUGCUUGGACCGCAACACAUCGCCAAAAAAAAUCGCCCAAAAAUUGCCGGAGAGAAGGAAACACGGAGGAGAGAUCGGUUGUGACAAAACGAUGGUGGGAAAAAAGAAAAAGUUUGCUUUUGAC
rnacentral:lncRNA from 1 species